UACGUAGGGGGCAAGCGUUGUCCGGAAUCAUUGGGCGUAAAGCGCGUGUAGGCGGUUCGGUAAGUCUGCUGUGAAAGUCCAGGGCUCAACCCUGGGAUGCCGGUGGAUACUGUCGGACUAGAGUACGGAAGAGGCGAGUGGAAUUCCCGGUGUAGCGGUGAAAUGCGCAGAUAUCAGGAGGAACACCAGCGGCGAAGGCGGCGCUCUGGGCUGGAACUGACGCUGAGGAGCGAAAGCGUGGGGAGCGAACAGG
rnacentral:rRNA from 1 species